UCCGCCCGCGCGCCCCGGGGCGCUUAGCCGCAGACCCUACCCCACACACCUGCUCGGGGCGGGCCUGGGAGGCUCGACGCUCGUCCGGCCUCUCCCCCAGAGCCUCUUUUCAACCCUGCUGGACCCCGAGCCCCGCAGUAGCAGCCGGGUGACAGAGAGCGGGUCGCAGUGCACCCGGCCCAAUUUGGUGAUGCCCGCCCACUUGAUGGAGGCCAGGUUUCUUUGCUGAGUCUACUGAUUCAAAUGCUAAUCUCUUCGGCAAACAGCUUCACAGACUUAGCCAGCACCCAGAAGUGGGGCUUAAUACUAUCUGGCAAUCUCUGGUCUCAGUCGAAUUGAUCCCCUUCACUGGAAGCCAGUUUUGGCUUUCCAACUCUUUCCAGUGCAAUUCCUGAAGCAUUUAGCAAAGAGCUGAGAACCAAGUGACUCUCUGAUACAGUUGUACUUCCUUGAUUUUUGGUCUUAAAGUCUCCAUCACUGUUAGCUCACUGGUUUUAAUUAGGAUUGUCUGCAUGUCCCUGGGUAGGGGGUUAUUUACAAGGCACCUCACAAGUGACUACACCACUGAAGAAAAUGGCUCCCCCCUCCCUCAAGCAUAAGGAAGGGUUCGUCAUUAUUAAGAGCAUUCUCAUUUUGUGAUGUAGACCAAGAUUCAUGAGCUUUCCUCUUAGGACUGCCUGCAUGUUUCCCACAGGCUUUGACAGGCAUUAUGAAGCCAAGGCUGGCCUCCAAAUCACCAGAUAACCAAAGAUGACCUUGAACUUCUGAUCUUCCUUCUUCCAACUCUCAAAUUCUAUGUAUUAGAAGCAUGCCCUAUCACACAUGGUUUUAUAAGCAUGUUUAUAAAACCCAGUUUUGUAAGCAUGCUAGAGGAAACGCUCAAUCAACUGAACUUUGUACCCAGCAUCUUUUUAAACUUUUUAAUUUAUAUGUAUAUAAAUAUGGGGACACAUGUGAA